rnacentral:rRNA from 1 species
UACGGGGGGGGCAAGCGUUGUUCGGAAUUACUGGGCGUAAAGGGCUUGUAGGUGGCCAACUAAGUCAGACGUGAAAUCCCUCGGCUUAACCGGGGAACUGCGUCUGAUACUGGAUGGCUGGAGUGUGGGAGAGGGAUGCGGAAUUCCAGGUGUAGCGGUGAAAUGCGUAGAUAUUGGGAGGAACACCAGUGGCGAAGGCGGCUCACUGGACCGGUACUGACGCUGAGGCGCGAAAGCGUGGGGAGCAAACAGG